GACGAACGCUGGCGGCGUGCCUAAUACAUGCAAGUCGAGCGAUGAAGAUUGGUGCUUGCACCAAUUUGAAGAGCAGCGAACGGGUGAGUAACGCGUGGGGAAUCUGCCUUUGAGCGGGGGACAACAUUUGGAAACGAAUGCUAAUACCGCAUAACAACUUUAAACAUAAGUUUUAAGUUUGAAAGAUGCAAUUGCAUCACUCAAAGAUGAUCCCGCGUUGUAUUAGCUAGUUGGUGAGGAAAAGGCUCACCAAGGCGAUGAUACAUAGCCGACCUGAGAGGGUGGUCGGCCACAUUGGGACUGGGACACGGCCCAAACUCCUACGGGAGGCAGCAGUAGGGGAUCUUCGGCAAUGGACGAAAGUCUGACCGAGCAACGCCGCGUGAGUGAAGAAGGUUUUCGGAUCGUAAAACUCUGUUGGUAGAGAAGAACGUUGGUGAGAGUGGAAAGCUCAUCAAGUGACGGUAACUACCCAGAAAGGGACGGCUAACUACGUG
rnacentral:rRNA from 1 species